CUCCCAGGGGCAGUAAUCAUUGCUACCCUCCUCACAGGGAUGCAGCUGCUUCCAUGGAGUAAGCUGAGAAUAAUCAGCUCCCACAGACACGAAUCUAAGUCUCUGGAGUGUUUUCUCACAGGCCCACAAAUGAGCAGCCCUUUUUACAGUCUCCAGUAUCUUGUGUCAACUCUGUGAACAAUGGGAAAGUACCCAGGAGGUCCCUGCAGGAAGCAGUACUUCCCUUGUAUAAUUAACCGGGUGGGAGACUGAGGAAUGAAGAUAGCACAGGAGACACACAGUACAAACUGCUGAAACAAUAAACAAACAAACAAGAGACCAGCACUUCCUUUUCUCAUAUUGUUAAUGCUGCUUCCUUAAGCACAGUCCCCCAAUCCCACCCUUCAAAAACAAAUCCUUUAUAAAGACUCAUGUUUAACACUUUCACUGCUGGAUUUUACUGAAGUCUUGACCAACAUUUUCAAACCUGAUUGCUUAAAUGGGGGCUCUGGAUUUUCAAAGCACCCUCAACGCACACUGCAGCGGAGGGGAACAGCGGGGAACUCCACAUUUCUGAGUGGUGCCAGUUUUUUAAAAAGUGCUUAAAUAAGGACAGAGGUGCCUAACUUCAGGCAGUGAGGUGGAAAAUGUUGUUCUUAAUGCCAUGUGGCAGUAGAGCCAGAGCCAAAAUGCUGUAUCCAAAUAGGUAUAUUAAUCUGAAUAACAUAGACGAGCACCUCUGCGUCGUGAGUUUUGAUUCAGCAAGAGAUCAGCAAUGAAAUUCAGAUCUACAGCCAAACCGUCUCAAACCUGGGGUGCAAUUUGGAUCUGAGUUCUCUGGCGCAAACCCACCUCAAGUAAAACACAGCAGUGGUCCUCUGAAAUGCUAGCUUGGUUCUUUGGGAACUUCAGCAGAACACCACUGUACAUAAGUCAGCAUUAGAGACUCUCUUGACCUUGCAUGUUGGUAUGGCUGCUAGGUCCACAUUUUUGCCCUGAAUAUCACACAUGCCUCUUCAAAUUCCUAGGCUGUGUAUUCAGUGCUGCUCACUGAGUGGCUUUUGUCACGGCAUACUGCUGAUCAGUUUUCUAGAACCCUUACUGAGGAGUGGUGUUUUUCUUUUCCUGUUUCUGUGUAUGAAGUGUUACAUGUGCAUCC